UACGGAGGGGGCUAGCGUUGUUCGGAAUUACUGGGCGUAAAGCGCACGUAGGCGGCUUUGCAAGUUAGAGGUGAAAGCCCGGGGCUCAACUCCGGAAUUGCUUUUAAAACUGCAUCGCUAGAAUUGUGGAGAGGUAAGUGGAAUUCCGAGUGUAGAGGUGAAAUUCGUAGAUAUUCGGAAGAACACCAGUGGCGAAGGCGACUUACUGGACACAUAUUGACGCUGAGGUGCGAAAGCGUGGGGAGCAAACAGG
rnacentral:rRNA from 1 species